GUUCGGUUAAACCCUCCCACCUAGAGGAAGGAGAAGUCGUAACAAGGUUUCCGUAGGUGAACCUGCGGAAGGAUCAUUGAAUCUAUCGUGCCCACACCGCGAAACUACUUAUGCCCUUCUGGAACAGGCAAACUUUAUUGUUUGCCCUUCAGUUGCGCAGGUCAGGGGCUGGCUCCUUUUGGUGUCAGUUGACUUGACUGGGCGGGUCCAAUACCAGCCGGAUUCACCUUGCCUUCUAGGCUUGGGGUUCUGCCGGCUGUGAGGGGUGGCUGUUUAACUCACUUUAAGCAAUCAAUUCUGAAGGCAGAUCUAUAGGCUGGCUAUGCUGGCUGUAGUCUGAUUAAAUAUAGACAACUCUCAACAACGGAUAUCUUGGCUCCCGUAACGAUGAAGAACGCAGCGAAAUGCGAUACGUAGUGUGAAUUGCAGAAUUCCGUGAACCAUCGAAUCUUUGAACGCAAAUUGCGCUCGAGGCCUCGGCCAAGAGCAUGUCUGCCUCAGCGUCGGCUACUACCCUCAACUAAGUUUCCUAUACACAUAGGGGAUGCCGGUUGGAUCUGGCCGUCCGGUUUGCCUUUUAGGUUGCCGGUCAGCUGAAAUACAUUCACGCUCUGGGGGCUGCUUUCCUUCCGAGGAGAGGCGAGUUCCGAUUUGGUAGGUGACCUUUGCCGGUUGCAUGCCUUCGUUGCCCGCUAAGCUUUCCAGUAUGCGUUGUGCAGGACGCCUUUUGGCUUUCGACCUGAGGUCAGGCAAGAACACCCG
rnacentral:rRNA from 1 species